rnacentral:rRNA from 1 species
GAGGAAUAUUGGACAAUGGGCGGAAGCCUGAUCCAGCCAUGCCGCGUGCAGGAAGACGGCCCUAUGGGUUGUAAACUGCUUUUAUACGGGAAGAAACCUACUCUCGUGAGAGUAGCUGACGGUACCGUAAGAAUAAGCACCGGCUAACUCCGUGCCAGCAGCCGCGGUAAUACGGAGGGUGCAAGCGUUAUCCGGAAUCAUUGGGUUUAAAGGGUCCGUAGGCGGGUAAAUAAGUCAGUGGUGAAAUGCAGAGGCUCAACUUCGGCACUGCCAUUGAUACUGUUUAUCUUGAAUUAUUGUGAAGUGGUUAGAAUAUGUAGUGUAGCGGUGAAAUGCUUAGAUAUUACAUA